CUGCGGUAAGCGGAUGAGCAACUUUGCAACAAAUCGUUUGAUUGACACCAUUCAGCUGCUCGUCAUAUUAUUGAACUAAGUGACUCCUCA
ensembl:ncRNA T14G12.8 ncRNA